UCCCAGAUAGCUCAGUUGGUAAAGAAUCUGCCUGCAAUUCAGGAGACCCAGGUUCGAUCCCUGGGUUGGGAA
rnacentral:tRNA from 1 species